AACGAACGCUGGCGGCAUGCCUAACACAUGCAAGUCGAACGAAGGCUUCGGCCUUAGUGGCGCACGGGUGCGUAACGCGUGGGAACCUGCCCCUCGGUUCGGAAUAACAGUUAGAAAUGACUGGCUAAUACCGGAUGAUGACUUCGGUCCAAAGAUUUAUCGCCGAGGGAUGGGCCCGCGUAGGAUUAGCUAGUUGGUGGGUAAAGGCCUACCAAGGCGACGAUCCUUAGCUGGUCUGAGAGGAUGAUCAGCCACACUGGGACUGAGACACGGCCCAGACUCCUACGGGAGGCAGCAGUGGGGAAUAUUGGACAAUGGGCGAAAGCCUGAUCCAGCAAUGCCGCGUGAGUGAUGAAGGCCUUAGGGUUGUAAAGCUCUUUUACCAGGGAUGAUAAUGACAGUACCUGGAGAAUAAGCUCCGGCUAACUCCGUG
rnacentral:rRNA from 1 species